UCUAAACUAAUGUGUCUGUCUGUCUUUGUCCACAGUGGAGUUGAAUGGCCAGCAGACCUCCCCGCCACUACUAACCCAAGCACUAUCAGUGAUAAAUAACUAUGGUCCCACGGGCUUUGCUCCGCCCACAUCCCCAGCCAACAACCGUGGGUUCCCCGCCACCAAUAGUCCGGGACCCAUUGACUUGUAUAACUCUAACCAUGAUACUAUGGGUUACGUCCAGGCCACUAGCCCCCAGCCGUCUGGGUAUCCCCCCAUCGCUGUCAGCAGGGGUCCUUUGAUUGCAGCAGCUUUCACUAAUGGCUACCACUGAGGCUCAGCUUUCUGACCUUUGACCAGCAAUAGUAAGCUUGGAUAAGAUGGAUCCUCAGGGAAGAAAAGAAAGACUUCUGGUUGUCUGGGCAACAUUGACUAUGUGUAUAUGAAUUAUCCUGGACUAUGUCCGGAUGGAUCCGUGUUUAAUAAGUGAUAAUCUGUGAAACAUUAAUCUUCAAAGAUAGAAAAUGUUGACUGUUUAUGUUUCCGCUAGCCUAGUGGCUGAUGAAGAAAACGAAUGAUGUUUUGUUGGUUUUAUUUUCCAUACUUCACCAUCUCACAGAAGAUUUGGAUCCAAAGACAUACAUUUUUUGUUAACAUGGUUGAUGUUGUAAAAAUGUGUUGAAGAACUGAUAGCCAAAUAGGCCUAAUCUUAAAGGUCGUCAGUCACUUUAUUUGUUGCUAAUAAUGUCUCCAUGGUAAUCACUUUAAGGGUUCUUGUUUGUUUGUUUGUCCAAUCUGAUACUACUCUUUGGGACUUAUGUAGUCCAGUUUAAACAUUAACUUCUCGCGCGAGGUCCACAAGGACCACAAACAAAUAAUGAUGGCCCCCAAACUAUUAAGCCUGCAAGUAGACUUUUUUGUUCCCUCUAUUGAAGUUUCUUGGAAACGAACGAAGAAUUAAAUACUUCUUCGAAAUUUGUUGAAUAAAUUUUUCUUCUCCAUUUAAAGAUUAUAUAAGUUCUGAAGCGUUAAACAAGAAAGUGGAUUCUUCUUUUUAUUGUGGUGUUCAUAUAAUUCUAUUUUUUUCGUCUGUAAAUAUGACUGUGUUUAACUAUCUGUGACUAUUUAACCACAACGGAUCACUUUGUUGAUUUUAAUAACUCGAAUCUUGCGAUCAAAUAAAACAAAAAACUUGGACAUUCAUUUUCUCUUCACUUAUUUAUUUUUAACUUUUAACUGUUAUAUUAAUAUUUCCAUCACAAUUAACUCACAUUUAUAGGUAGCGUUUUCGUAAUUGAAAAUCCUUUAAUUUACAACGCAUUUAAGAAAUAUUGACCGAUACUGAAGCAAUAAAUAUUUUAUGUAUGGGCACUGCAAAAUUAACUUGUAAGACUUCUGAAAAUAAGGAUGACUCUACUUUAAACAACAAAGUAUUGACAAUGUUUCAUGACAGAAAUAUUUUGUACAUAUUAGGCAAAUUAAAGCAAUGAAUAUCUGGAAAAAAAACAC